GACCACAAGGAAGCAAAGUUAGUCGAAGCUUAUACUGCUUUGCUGGCUCGAGACACAAGUCAGAUGUCAGCCGAAGGGAAGAUUAGCCACGAGAAGACAUUGCUCAAGAUGGAGAAGAUGAUUUUCAAAAAUGAUGAUGAACCCUAAUGGAGAUGGCAUAUGUGUAAGGAUAUCAAUUGGGAGGCUUGUGCUUUUGGUCAGUUACUUAGGAUUGGGAACUGCUCCUUUCUUAAUUAUGUGAAUGCGAACUGGUCCUUUUGUUUGCUAUGUGAAUGUGAACUGCUGCUACUUUAUUUAUUAUGUGAAUGCCACUGUCA